rnacentral:rRNA from 1 species
CCCACCGGAACUUGCUCCACCGGGAAAAGAGGAGUGGAGAAAGGGUGAGUAACACGUGGGUAACCUGCCCAUCACAAGGGGAUAACACUUGGAAACAGGUGCUAAUACCGUAUAACAAUCGAAACCGCAUGGUUUCGUUUUGAAAGGCGCUUUACAGUGCCGCUGAUGGAUGGACCCGCGGUGCAUUAGCUAGUUGGUGAGGUAACGGCUCACCAAGGCCACGAUGCAUAGCCGACCUGAG